rnacentral:rRNA from 1 species
AGGACGAACGCUGGCGGCGUGCUUAACACAUGCAAGUCGAGCGGAAAGGCCCUUCGGGGUACUCGAGCGGCGAACGGGUGAGUAACACGUGAGUAAUCUGCCCCUAGCUCUGGGAUAGCUCCGGGAAACCGGGAUUAAUACCGGAUACGACCACCUUAGACAUCUUUUGUGGUGGAAAGAAUUUCGGCUAGGGAUGAGCUCGCGGCCUAUCAGCUUGUUGGUGGGGUAACGCCUACCAAGGCGACGACGGGUAGCCGGCCUGAGAGGGCGACCGGCCACACUGGGACUGAGACACGGCCCAGACUCCUACGGGAGGCAGCAGUGGGGAAUAUUGCGCAAUGGGCGAAAGCCUGACGCAGCGACGCCGCGUGGGGAUGAAGGCCUUCGGGUUGUAAACCCCUUUCAGCAGGGACGAAGCGAAAGUGACGGUACCUGCAGAAGAAGCGCCGGCUAACUACGCGCCAGCAGCCGC